GACGGGCCCCGCACAAGCAGCGGAGCGUGUGGUUUAAUUCGAUGCUACACGAAGAACCUUACCAGGGUUUGACAUACAAGUAGUAGGGAAAGGAAACUGGACCGACCCUUCGGGGAGCUUGAACAGGUGCUGCAUGGCUGUCGUCAGCUCGUGUCGUGAGAUGUUCGGUUAAGUCCGCUAACGAGCGCAACCCUCGCUGUGUGUUACAAGUGUCACACGGAACUGCCGGUCAUAAACCGGAGGAAGGUGGGGAUGACGUCAAGUCAGCAUGGCCUUUAUAUCCUGGGCUACACACACGCUACAAUGGGAAGGGACAAUAGGUUGCGAGACCGCGAGGUGGAGCCAAUCCAGCAAAACUUCCCUCAGUUCAGAUUGCAGGCUGCAACUCGCCUGCAUGAAGUUGGAGUUGCUAGUAAACGCAGGUCAGCCAUACUGCGUUGAAUACGUUCCCGGGGCUU
rnacentral:rRNA from 1 species